AGGCCUUCCUUGCCACGUUCUCUUCGGAUUUGGCGUUUGUCCUUGCCCAGGCCUUCCUUGCCACGUUCCCUUUCGCUAUGAGGUUUUCCCUCCCGCACGCCUUCAUUGCUGCGUUCUCUUCGGAUUUGGCGUUUGCCCUCGCCCAGGCCUUCCGUGUGGCGUUCUUCCUCCUGUUGCAUGUGUGUUGGUUUUUCCUUGAGUGUUCUAAUUGUCUUCGCUUCUGACUUCUCCUUCCCUCGCUCUUCUCCUUGCCUUGGCCUUGCUGUUCCCUUGGGUUUUCUGCUUGCCUUUGCUUCACUGGGAUUGGCGGAGAGGCAGCAUUCAUGGUGAUCUGCACCUCAACCCUAAGCUUAAUGGGAGCUCCAGAGAUAAUUGUCGUAACCCACCCUGUAACUUGAAAGCUCACCCUUAACCCAAUGCUACAAAUGUCUCUAAUGCUCAGUGUAGGCAUAAAAGCAGUGACUGGGGUUUGCUGUCCAAGUCAUCUUAACCCAAAUUGUCAUGUCAAAGCCAUUGUUGAACUAACUGUCACUUUAAUCCCAUAUCUAGCUUAAAUUAGAACCCUCAUGCUUCAAAAUAUCAUUGGUGUAUCCUUCGAACAAUUCCUUACUGUAAUUUUCCUCUUAAUGAAUGUUUCAACCCUGUUUAGGAAUAGACAAACACUGUCGUCAUGGUUACAGCCCCACGCUCUCCUAAUGCCGACUGCGCUGGCGACUCGGAGUGCAGCUCUGAAGAUGCACUGAGACCCUGCAGAUCCAGACCCUACUCGGACACCGACUCGACAGCUGAAAGAAGGUAGGCCCUCGGACUGCCGCACGCCAGGACCAGCACGGAGCGGCUCUGGGACGGGUGCGGUCGAGCCCGUGGAUCGUUCCCACCGCCGUACUCGGUGGCGACGGAGAUUUGCGGUGCUCCUGGGUGGUGCCAGAAUUGCACGGAGACCUGUGGCUCCUCAUGAAGUCAGCUUGAAGCAGAACCCUGGAUUUCCUGGAAUGCCUCGGAACCCUCCUUGUCUGUCUGGUAACUGGUUGCCCAUACAGGUAAAGGUAAUUUACACCCACCACUGUUGACCAUUUCCAUUGCGUGGCUCAAGGUAGUGCUCCCUGAGCUUGUAACUGCACUUGAGGGUACCCUGAAGGC